UACGUAGGUGGCGAGCGUUGUCCGGAUUUACUGGGCGUAAAGAGCGCGCAGGCGGUCGUUCAAGUCGCGUGUGAAAGCCCCCGGCUCAACUGGGGAGGGUCACGCGAUACUGAUCGACUCGAAGGCAGGAGAGGGUAGUGGAAUUCCCGGUGUAGUGGUGAAAUGCGUAGAUAUCGGGAGGAACAUCAGUGGCGAAGGCGGCCCUCUGGUCCAGUACUGACACUCAAGUGCGAAAGCGUGGGGAGCAAACAGG
rnacentral:rRNA from 1 species